UCAUGAGAACCAAUUGCUACAACAGUAGAGGAAAGUCCGGGCAUCCACAAUCUGCGAUGAUUGUAGUGUUUGUACUGCGUCUAAUAAAUGCAGGUAGCUUUUUGCUAACGACAGAUGGAAGACCUAAACCUUCUGGCAAGGUUGUGAAAUCAUAAAGUGCCACAGAAACAAAUGCGUUUUGAAAAGAACGAAUGAAAAGAGGUAAACUCUGCAAGGAUGAAACCCAAAUUUUGGUAGGGGAAUCUAGUUUUGAAGAAUUGAAUUCAAGACAGAAUGCAUUAUGCAUAGAUAAAUAAUUGGUUGAAAAACAGAACUCGGCUUAUCA
rfam:Coprobacillus sp. 29_1 genomic scaffold supercont1.2, whole genome shotgun sequence.